GAUGAACGCUGGCGGCGUGCCUAAUACAUGCAAGUCGAGCGAACAGACGAGGAGCUUGCUCCUCUGACGUUAGCGGCGGACGGGUGAGUAACACGUGGAUAACCUACCUAUAAGACUGGGAUAACUUCGGGAAACCGGAGCUAAUACCGGAUAAUAUAUUGAACCGCAUGGUUCAAUAGUGAAAGACGGUUUUGCUGUCACUUAUAGAUGGAUCCGCGCCGCAUUAGCUAGUUGGUAAGGUAACGGCUUACCAAGGCAACGAUGCGUAGCCGACCUGAGAGGGUGAUCGGCCACACUGGAACUGAGACACGGUCCAGACUCCUACGGGAGGCAGCAGUAGGGAAUCUUCCGCAAAGGGCGAAAGCCUGACGGAGCAACGCCGCGUGAGUGAUGAAGGUCUUCGGAUCGUAAAACUCUGUUAUUAGGGAAGAACAAAUGUGUAAGUAACUAUGCACGUCUUGACGGUACCUAAUCAGAAAGCCUCGGCUAACUACGUG
rnacentral:rRNA from 1 species